rnacentral:rRNA from 1 species
AGAAUCAACGCUGGCGGCGUGCCUAACACAUGCAAGUCGAACGCGAAAGGGGAGCAAUCCCUGAGUAGAGUGGCAAACGGGUGAGUAACACGUGGGUGACCUGCCUUCGAGUGGGGGAUAACGUCCCGAAAGGGACGCUAAUACCGCAUGACAUCCUGCUCUUGGAAGGGCGGAGAUCAAAGCUGGGGAUCGCAAGACCUGGCGCUUGAAGAGGGGCCCGCGCCUGAUUAGCUAGUUGGUAGGGUAACGGCCUACCAAGGCAACGAUCAGUA